GACGAACGCUGGCGGCGUGCUUAACACAUGCAAGUCGAACGGAAAGGCCCUGCUUUCGUGGGGUGCCCGAGUGGCGAACGGGUGAGUAACACGUGAGUAACCUGCCCUUGACUUUGGGACAACUUCAGGAAACUGGGGCUAACACCGGAUAGGAGCUCCUGCUGCAUGGUGGGGGUUGGAAAGUUUCGGCGGUUGGGGAUGGACUCGCGGGUUAUCAGCUUGUUGGUGGGGUAGUGGCUUACCAAGGGUUUGACGGGUAGCCGGCCUGGGAGGGUGGCCGGCGACCUUGGGACUGAGAUACGGCCCAGACUCGUACGGGAGGCAGAGGUGGGGAAUAUUACACAAUGGGCGGAGGCCUGAUGCAGCAACGCCGCGUGCGGGAUGACGGCCUUCGGGUUGUAAAGCGCUUUCGCCUGUGACGAAGCGUGAGUGACGGUAAUGGGUAAAGAAGCACCGGCUAACUACGUG
rnacentral:rRNA from 1 species